UACGUAGGGAGCAAGCGCUGUCCGGAAUCAUUGGGCGUAAAGCGCGCGUAGGCGGCCUCAUAAGUCCGUUGUGAAAGUCAAAGGCUCAACCUUUGAAAGCCGAUGGAUACUGUGAGGCUAGAGUCCGGAAGAGGCGAGUGGAAUUCCUGGUGUAGCGGUGGAAUGCGCAGAUAUCAGGAGGAACACCAAUUGCGAAGGCAGCUCGCUGGGACGUUACUGACGCUGAGACGCGAAAGCGUGGGGAGCAAACAGG
rnacentral:rRNA from 1 species